CCUGGAUAUUGUGGAGGACUCUGUAUUUUAUGGAAAUCCCAUUAGAAUGCAAUGAAAGACUUUUUAAAUUAAAUAAUUGCUUUAUAAAACCUAGCAAACUUUAUGUUCCAGGUUUGUCAACCAAAUGGACCUCAGCCAGAGGAGUGAGAGGGAGUGAACCAAACUGAGAGCUGGUGUAAAUGGGCCCAACUUGCACAUUCUUUUUGAACUUGACCAACACAUGCAGAUACCUGAUGUAUUACUUCAUCAGCAAAUUCAACAAGGCCAGGAUGUCUUCAUUUCCUUCAGAGCAAGAGCAGUAAGAGCAGUGUGGUGGAAGUAUUGGUCUUGUGUGGCCAGCCGGCGAGAGCCAUCAGCAGCUGUGAUGAGCAGAGCAGACAUGGGAGACAGGAGGCAGCUCAAGCCAAAGAGGACCCACGCCUGGAGCUGUGUCUGUGUGAUUGGAGCAGAGAGAGGCCAGGACCCAAGGAAAUCCCAGCAGCAAGGGAAAAAAACAGAUUGACUCUCAGUGACUCAUUUAGCUCCUGGAUUGGACAGAUCUCUCCCCUGCUGGCAAUUUGGCUGAGCAUCAAUGGACAGAUACCAGGAUGAAUAGCUUAAAAUAAUUAGGGGUUGGGAAUUUGCAAAACUGCUAGCCAUCCAAUUCUUUACUGUGCAAUGUGAGGCAGAAAAAAAGAAAUUACAUUUAGGUUAUUAAAUAUUAAGUCAGUGGAUUUACUUCCAUUUGGUGCAGAACAGGAAACUGGCUAAAAUUCAACAUUUAUAUCAUUGUGUUGAUGGUCUGUUUAUCACUGAGCAAGUAAGUGCCUUUUGGCAGGUCAAGCUCUUUGACACAUGGGGCAAAUGUGUGCUUAAUUUCUCUCAAACAGAAGAAUUAAUAUAAUAAUAAUUAACACAGAUGAGAACAGAAUUAAAAUCAAGUACAGUCAAGAGUUCAGUUUAAUGCCAGGUGUCUCACAUUCUAAAUGUUCUGGGGCCAGAUUUUUCCUGUUGAAGGUAGCAAGGAUUUUUGCCUUUGUCACUUAUGGGAGCUGAAGUGGGCCUUGGAUGUAGAGAGACAGGAUUCCCUGUACUUUCUAUUUAAUGCACAAAACCAGAAGCAACAGGCUCAUUUAGUAUCAGUAAAGGUCAGUUAAAAUUAUAGAGACAUCCUUUGGAGCAAAUCCUCUGCCUUGUAUUUGCAUAUUUAUGAAUUAGAGAUUACGACAGGCUAUUUCAUUUAUUAGAGCAGCACUGCUAUAGUUAAUAGUCUGUCAGUAUUUCCAUUAUAAACCCCGUUUUUCAGUGUUUAAUAUCUCAGCCAUUUAAAAUCACAUCAGGAAGCAGCUUGGUCUUAUGUUGCUGGCCAGGUGCAUUUUUUUGUUAUGGAUUAUUUUCGAUAAUGAAAUACUGCUCAUCAUAUAUGCAGAUGAGCCACAGCAUUUCUGUUGGAGGGACAUAGAAAGGUGUGUAAAUUCAUUGUGGCUUUGUUUUUCUUUAGGAAAGAAGGGAAAAGGGGGAUU
rnacentral:lncRNA from 1 species